AGUGAACGCUGGCGGCGUGCCUAAUACAUGCAAGUCGAACGAAGUGGCGCACGGGUGAGUAAUAUAUAGUUAAUCUGCCCUACACAGUGGAACAACAGUUGGAAAAGACUGCUAAUACCUCAUAGUGUAGGAUGAGACUAUAUCGUAUCAGCUAGUUGGUAAGGUAAUGGCUUACCAAGGCUAUGACGCGUAACUGGUCUGAGAGGAUGCUCAGUCACAUUGGAACUGAGGCACGGUCCAGACUCCUACGGGAAGGAGCAGUAGGGAAUAUGACGCAAUGGGGGAGACCCAAACGGAGCUACGCCGCGUGGAAGAUGACACUUUGCGGAGCGUAAAGUCGUUUUAUAAGGAACGCGGUACCUAAUGAGUAAGCACCGGCUAACUCCGUGCCAGCAGCCGCGGUAAUAC
rnacentral:rRNA from 1 species